ACACAAAUCUCUCAUCUCUCUCUCACUCAAACGAUCUCUCGCAGGCUGCAGCCUCUCAAGUCUCAAGUUUCAAUUCUCAAAAUUUACAGUUUUUAUUCUUCAAUAUUUUCAUUUUCUUCGCCGCGAAGUUGCUUAUUAGUCAAAGGCCGAUGCUUCGAAGGAGAUCUAGGCCGAUCUGGAAAGGUGCACAAGGUUAGAACUUAGAAGUGAGCACAGUGCUAGCGUUAGGGCAAUCGGACUUAACCCUAAAUCCCUCCAAAGAAAGGGCUCCUGUUGUGUGGUGGAAGGAAGAAGAUGAUGUGAUGGGGUUUGAUAGAGGGGCAACAACUAUAAAGGAUUGUUGUGAACUCACCUUUGGAUGUAUGUUUCAAGGGCAGAAAUUAAUCAACAUCUUGGGAGUAACUUUACCAAGAAGAAAAAGAAUAUCAUGAUGUGUUUGAAUAGCACAGAUAGCUAAUAAAGGAGGCUUAAAAGGUUGGAAGUAUUUUGUUGUUGUGGAUGAUGUGUAGACCAAGCAAGACAGGAAUUACUUGAAAUUUGUUUUCUCCAACAAAAUGGGAGGCAAUAGAGUCCUCUUCACAACUUAGCAUGGGCAUGCAGCUAUACGCAGAUACCUUCUCGUAAACUGCACCCUUCAAAAUUUGUAAGAAAUGAGGAUAGUUGGAGUUACUGUUGAGGAAGGGUUUUAUCAAUGAAAGUUGCUUUAUUGGGCUUGAAAGGGACGGGGAAUGCAUUGCUAUAAAAUGCGGUGGACUCCCACUUGCAGAAGUAGUGAUUGUUGGUGUCUUUGUCCAAUACACUAGCAACAAUUGCUAUUGCAAGUGGUAAUCCAUUGCACUUUAUAGCUAUAUAUGUUUCUGCCCUCUUUUAGCUCAAAAGGACAACUUUCCUUGAGAAAAACCUUCUUCUAGUAACUCCCAACUUUCAUCAUUUCUUUAAAAUUUUAAAGAGUGUGUGACUUACAAGCAGAAUCUGCAUAUAUAGCUACAUUCUCAUGCCGAGUUAUUAAGAGAUUCUACUCCCUCUCAUGUUAUUGAGAAAAACAUUUUUCAAAUAUUUCUAGUCUUGUGGUCCACACAUCAUCCAGGACAAUGAAAUGCUUACCACCCUCUAAAAAUUCCUUUAUUUUAGUAGUUAAAUGCUCUUCAGGCAUAUCAUGGUACUUCUUUUUCUUCAUUAUUUUCGCACUCUCAAGCAGCUCGACAUCAUGCGUGGAGUUUGCAUUCUCUUCUUGAAUCAUUGUGUGAAAAAUGAUGUUUUGGAGUCAAAGGGGGGUAAUGAUGAUUUUUUGGUUGUUUAGCUUGCUGGAAAUUGGCUGCUGGAAGGUGGCUGUUUGGUGCUGCUUGGUGAGUCCAUCACUGAGUCAACUCUUGUGUGACAGGUUGUUCAGGUUUGUUCUUUCACUCAUUUGUAUUUUAUGAUUUCGUUAUGAUGUUUUGUAUAGUCCAGUGACAGUUACCAGACCUGAUACUUUGACCACAUGUUAGCUUUUAAUGCUAAAUAAUGUUUUGGCAUUUCAUUUUCCAUUACCGAUUCUUGUAUCUCAAGCUUUGUUACCUAGCGUUAAACCCACAAUUAUGCACCUGAAUGGAAUUAAGUCAGAGAAGCUUGAAGCUUUCAACACAUUUUUGGAAGGAAAAAGAGAAAUGCUGAUGACCACCAUGCAAAUUAUUUCUUUAAUAUUGCUCAUACUUGGGUCUGAUGUAAAUUUCGAACUUGAAAUAUUGGCAUUAUGAAUUCGGGUUUUAAGAGGCAAAAUUGUUGUCUUUAUUUCUUCUCUA